AGAGUUUGAUCCUGGCUCAGGACGAACGCUGGCGGCGUGCCUAAUACAUGCAAGUCGAACGCUUUUUCUUUCACCGGAGCUUGCUCCACCGAAAGAAAAAGAGUGGCGAACGGGUGAGUAACACGUGGGUAACCUGCCCAUCAGAAGGGGAUAACACUUGGAAACAGGUGCUAAUACCGUAUAACACUAUUUUCCGCAUGGAGGAAAGUUGAAAGGCGCUUUUGCGUCACUGAUGGAUGGACCCGCGGUGCAUUAGCUAGUUGGUGAGGUAACGGCUCACCAAGGCCACGAUGCAUAGCCGACCUGAGAGGGUGAUCGGCCACACUGGGACUGAGACACGGCCCAGACUCCUACGGGAGGCAGCAGUAGGGAAUCUUCGGCAAUGGACGAAAGUCUGACCGAGCAACGCCGCGUGAGUGAAGAAGGUUUUCGGAUCGUAAAACUCUGUUGUUAGAGAAGAACAAGGAUGAGAGUAAAAUGUUCAUCCCUUGACGGUAUCUAACCAGAAAGCCACGGCUAACUACGUGCCAGCAGCCGCGGUAAUACGUAGGUGGCAAGCGUUGUCCGGAUUUAUUGGGCGUAAAGCGAGCGCAUGCGGUUUCUUAAGUCUGAUGUGAAAGCCCCCGGCUCAACCGGGGAGGGUCAUUGGAAACUGGGAGACUUGAGUGCAGAAGACGAGGGUGGAAUUCCAUGUGUAGCGGUGAAAUGCGUAGAUAUAUGGAGGACACCAGUGGCCGAAAGCCGCUCUCUGGUCUGUAACUGACGCUGAGGCUUCGAAAGCGUGUGGAGC
rnacentral:rRNA from 1 species